GAAGGUAAGAGGUAUUAUUAGUUCUACACUAGACAAAAAGAAAGGAUGAGUUCCUGGGGGGUGUAUAGAAAGCAUCAACCGAAGGCACCCUAAGAAAUGCAGUGGGUGACCCCUGAGUGUUUAAGGUAAGGGGAGGGAGUCUGUGGGAAGCAAAAGAAUGAAACAUCAAGCAAAAAAAGGAGGAACGCAAGAAUAAGGAAGAGGAGAUGGGCUCGUGUGCUCGAAGAGAGGCAGCGUGGCAAAGAAAAACACUGCUCAGAGAUAAGCGAAUGAAAGAAGCCACUGCAGGGACAGUUGGGGAUGUGAGAGUUUGCGUCAGAUGGACCUGACUCAGAGGAGCAGGGCAUGCUGGGAAUGGGGUCAGUGCAGCAGAAGCUUCAGAGCCUCUGUGGAGAACGGAGAAAGCAAGCAGAGCAGGGAGCACUGACGACGCCUGAUCUUAUCACUUGGUCAGUGACCCUACUCACAAUGAGCCUCACUCACAGACAACAAGCCGACGGGAAAAUUUAGAGUUAAAAGUUUUUAGCUGUCGAUAGCCACAUUAUCCUAAGUCUGUGAUGAUGAGCUGGCUCUAGCGUUCUGUCAGCCAGCAAGCAGAAUCAUGAAGGAUGAUGUAGGAGAUUUGUUCUUACAGGAGUAAACCAUAAGCACCUGGGAGUCUGACGGAGGAGGCUGUGCACACCAUCUGCCUUUGUGACUGAUGAUGACGUCAGAGUCACUGCAGAUGGACAGAGAAGAAGCACAGGGGUCAUGAGGGAGAGAACAGAGGCAAACUAGAACUUGUAGCGACCGUGGGUCUCCCGGGUGGGUUUCCUCUCCAGCCUUGAGAGUGGGAAAUGAAGAUGCUUGUGCCCCUUGUCCGAGGUAUGCCACAGCCAGACCAGGAUCUAGAGGGAAGAAGUUGAACCUUGGACAGCCUGCAAGACGUCUAACAAGACAUAUAAGCCACAGAGGUGCCUGGGGACUCAUCUUUUAAGCAUAAAAAUGGAAGCCACCAAGCUGGGAAGAUGGCAGAGACAAAGUUGUGGCAACCCCAUCCUCCCUAGCUCCAAUAAACACAUAUAUAAGUGUAACUUUAAAAUGUGUUUAAAUAGUCGAUACCUCAACUCCUUCUAAAUCUCUCAUGGAAAGUCUUAGAGGAAAGGAGACCCUGGGGUUCCAGGUGUCCUUGUGGCUGAGAUGGCACCUUAUGAAGCCACCACACAGGAGCAGAAUCUGUUUCCAAAGUAUCUAAGGUGCUGGAUGGAGACCCACAUGAGGAUCCAGAACAUGAAGUCAACUGUAGGCAAAGCUUGAGUCUUGUAAAAAGAAAAAUGGCAGCCAAAAUGUUACAAUUUGGACCCAGACAAAGUCAUGCCCUUUGUUACGGCCGGGAUGGAGGCAUUUGGAACCUGCUUUUUUUUUUGGUUGUACAAACAAGAGAGCAGAAACUUCCUACCUGUUGGCAGAACCUCCUAAGCUGCAGAAACUCUUUGUCACUGUGUUGAUAUGCAAGUAAGCUACACUGGAAAGUAGGACCAUACGAUAGGACCUGGAUUUGAAGAAGUUGGAAAACACCCUUGGAACCCGGAAGCCUUUACUGGUGACCAGACUGUCUCUGAAGGAAGGAAGACCCUGGAAACCAUAGCUGUCAUGAAACCAUCUCUUACAUCAGCUCUGGACCCCGUCUCCCUGGUUAAGAAGUUUUUCUAAAUGCCUAAAUCUCCUAACUCCCCUGACUGCCCAGAAAGACCCAGAGCAGUCUCAAACACCCAGCCAGGCACCCACCCACUUGUAAUUAGCGCCAGCUAGGCCUGGGUGAUGUUGGCCUCUGAACUUUUCUGCAUUUCUCCUAGAUGCAAACCCACCGUGCUUUGGAGCCAUGUUCCGGCAGCCGCACUGCCUGCUUUACGCUGUGUAUGCACUCUCAUGUCCUGCUCACGCCAGUGCUUGCAAAGGGGCCUAAAGUAGUCUGGAAUACCAGGUGCCCUGCUCCAGAGUUAAACUGAUCAUGCUAUUUCCUCCCCACUUAAAUCAGAGGGGCCCUUCCAAUAGCAAACCCUGAUACCAUCUGAACUGUAUCCUGAAGGAACUGGCUGGCAAGAAUUGGAACCAGCUGGUAAGGAAGGGGCUCUGACAGCAAGACCAAAAGGUGAACUUGGUACAUAUGGCAGCCCUUGGGACUGGUACCAAGAGGGAGCACACUCAGGGCCACUUCUGCAGCCUCUAGGAACAGCGUGGCCCUUCUCCAUACCAUGCUGUGGGCAAGGAGACAAGUCAAGGCUGGUGACUGGAAUGGUACCCUGCAUCACAAAGAUCACUUGGGAACCAUGGACCAGAACCAUGCCUUUGACUUGGGAGCUCACUGGAAAUGCCAGACUCAAGCUCCGCACACACACCUCAGCCACAGAAACUGCCUACAGUAAGAGCCCAGGUGAUUGAUGCUAGUGUUCCAGAAACCCAGCUGUAGAGCUAUGCGCUGCUAAUUCCCACAAAGUCCUUGUCUGAGGGAGACACAGAGAGAGUGACUCACCUAAGGGGAAGAGCUAAAACUAGACAUUUCUCUGAAAAAAUUUUCCUUUUUAGUAUUUUUAACUACAAUUUAAGUUUAACGUCUACCAGAGUCAAUGGUGUGCACAUUCUUGUGCAACAGAUUUCCAUGUAUUUAUUUAUUUAUUGACAGUGCUGGGGGUUAAAUUCAGGAUGUAUACAUGCUGGGCCUGUGCUCCACCACUGAGCUCUACCUCCAGUUCUAGAAAUUUCUGAACUGUUGUUAGCUUAGAGUGCUUUCUAGAGCACCGCUUUGCCUGUGGCAAAAGUCAGGAGAGACUUGUGACAGUGGAUGUUUCUCUCAAAGUGCUUUCUCUCUCUCUUUCUCUUGCUCUCUCUCUCUCUCUCUCUCUCUGUGUG